ensembl:miRNA MIR6759 microRNA 6759
UAUUGUUGUGGGUGGGCAGAAGUCUGUUUUCUUCAUGGUUUUCUGACCUUUGCCUCUCCCCUCAG